GCGGGUGUGGCGGAAUUGGCAUACGCACUAGACUUAGGAUCUAGCGCCUUACGGCGUGGGGGUUCGACUCCCUUCACCCGCA
rnacentral:tRNA from 1 species